rnacentral:rRNA from 1 species
GAUCCUGCUCAGGAUGAACGCUAGCUACAGGCUUAACACAUGCAAGUCGAGGGGCAGCAUGGUCUUAGCUUGCUAAGGCCGAUGGCGACCGGCGCACGGGUGAGUAACGCGUAUCCAACCUGCCUUACACUCUUGGACAGCCUUCUGAAAGGGAGAUUAAUACAAGAUGUUAUCAUGAGUAAGCAUUUUCACAUGAUUAAAGGUUUACCGGUAUAAGAUGGGGAUGCGUUCCA